UGCCCUAGUAACGGCGAGUGAAGCGGCAACAGCUCAAAUUUGAAAUCUGGCGCAAGCCCGAGUUGUAAUUUGUAGAGGAUGCUUCUGGGUAGCGACCGAUCUAAGUUCCUUGGAACAGGACGUCAUAGAGGGUGAGAAUCCCGUAUGUGACCGGCCCGCACCCUUUACGUAGCUCCUUCGACGAGUCGAGUUGUUUGGGAAUGCAGCUCUAAAUGGGAGGUAAAUUUCUUCUAAAGCUAAAUACCGGCCAGAGACCGAUAGCGCACAAGUAGAGUGAUCGAAAGAUGAAAAGUACUUUGGAAAGAGAGUUAAAAAGCACGUGAAAUUGUUGAAAGGGAAGCGCCUGCAACCAGACUUCGUGGCAGUGUUCCGCCGGUCUUCUGACCGGUUCAUUCUCUGUCGCGAGGCCAUCAUCGUCUGGGCCCGCCGGAUAAGACCUGAGGAAUGUGGCUCCCCCUCGGGGGAGUGUUAUAGCCUCUGGUGAUGCGGCGAGGCUCGGGCGAGGUCCGCGCUUCGGCAAGGAUGAUGGCGUAAUGGUUGUCGGCGGCCCGUCUUGAAACACGGACCAAGGAGUCUAACAUCUAUGCGAGUGUUCGGGUGUCAAACCCCUACGCGUAAUGAAAGUGAACGGAGGUGGGAACCGCAAGGUGCACCAUCGACCGAUCCUGAUGUCCUCGGAUGGAUUUGAGUAAGAGCAUAGCUGUUGGGACCCGAAAGAUGGUGAACUAUGCCUGAAUAGGGUGAAGCCAGAGGAAACUCUGGUGGAGGCUCGCAGCGGUUCUGACGUGCAAAUCGAUCGUC
rnacentral:rRNA from 1 species